AAAAUAACAAUGAUUUCCCUAGUAACGGCGAGUGAAGAGGAAAGAGCUCGAAGUUGGAACCUGUUUGGCCUAGCUAAACCGGAUUGUAGACUGUAGAAGUGUUUUCCAGGCAAGCCGAGUAAAUAAGUCCUUUGGAACAGGGCAUCAUAGAGGGUGAGAAUCCCGUCUUUGGCUUGAGCAUUUGCCUUUUGUGAUACGCUUUCAAAGAGUCAGGUUGUUUGGGAAUGCAGCCUAAAUUGGGUGGUAAAUCUCACCUAAAGCUAAAUAUUGGCGAGAAACCGAUAGCGAACAAGUACCGUGAGGGAAAGAUGAAAAGAACUUUGAAAAGAGAGUUAAACAGUAUGUGAAAUUGUUAAAAGGGAACCGUUUGGAGCCAGACUGGCUUGUCUGUAAUCAAUCUAGGCUUCGGCCUGGAUGCACUUGCAGGCUAUGCCUGCCAACGACAAUUUGACUUGAGGGAAAAAACUAGGGGAAAUGUGGCCCACUUGUGGGUGUUAUAGUCCCUUAGAAAAUACCUUGGGUUGGAUUGAGGAACGCAGCGAAUGCUUAUUGGCGAGUUUUCCAGGAAGGUUUUCUGAGGUACUACGGUAUCAAGGUUGAUCUUUUUGGUUAUACUUCUAUUCGCUUAGGUUGUUGGCUUAAUGACUCUAAAUGAC
rnacentral:rRNA from 1 species